rnacentral:tRNA from 11 species
AGGGGUAUCGUCCAAAGGCUAAGAUAGCGGUCUCCAAAACCGUUGAUGUGGGUUCGAGUCCUACUACCCCUGCCA